rnacentral:rRNA from 1 species
GACGAACGCUGGCGGCGUGCUUAACACAUGCAAGUCGAACGGAAAGGCCCUGCUUUUGUGGGGUGCUCGAGUGGCGAACGGGUGAGUAACACGUGAGUAACCUGCCCUUGACUUUGGGAUAACUUCAGGAAACUGGGGCUCAUACCGGAUAGGAGCUCCUGCUGCAUGGUGGGGGUUGGAAAGUUUCGGCGGUUGGGGAUGGACUCGCGGCUUAUCAGCUUGAUGGUGGGGUAGUGGCUUACGAAGGCUUUGACGGGUAGCCGGCCUGGGAGGGUGACCGGCCACAUGGGGACUGCGGUAGGGCCCAGACUCCAACGGGACGCAGCAGUGGGGAAUCUUGCACAAUGGGCGGAAGCCUGAUGCAGCAACGCCGCGUGCGGGAUGACGGCCUUCGGGUUGUAAACCGAUUUCGCAUGUGACGAAGCGUGAGUGACGGUAAUGGGUAAAGAAGCACCGGCUAACUACGUG